AGUAAUCAAUUUCCAGGUAAUUGUAAAAAAUAUUUCUGUGUUGUCAGAAUUGGGUUGAUUACAGGAAACCAUCACUGUCACAUGUAACAUGCUUUUUAAAUUGCUAUUUUCUCAGAAGAGUAUAUCUUGAUACGUGACAACAGUGAUCUGGAUUUUCAUCCUGUUUAGAGAAAAAAGUGUUUCAGUGUUUUUUUCCUCAUCCUGAGUUCACUGACUGCUUGAAGAUAGCUGUGAGUAAAGUUGUGCCUUCAAAGCAAACAAGAUGUGACCCAUUCAGAAAUCAACUGUCUAUUUCUACUAUUGCAUCUAAGCAACAAAGUGAAGACAAUGCUCCUUAAGAAAGGAACAGAAGCAUCUGAAGCAAGCUGAAAGUACAGACUGCAGAGUACGCAUGAGGAACAACUGAUACAAUCACUAAAAACAAAAUUUCCUGUUAAAUCAUGGGAGUGGGGGAGUAUGAAUUCAUCUUUACAAAGACAGACAUGAAGAAACAGAGGUUUUCAAAGCAGUAUUAUGUAUAUAACCGAC
rnacentral:lncRNA from 1 species